rnacentral:piRNA from 1 species
UGUGGUAAGCCAUAUACAUGAUGUGA